rnacentral:lncRNA from 1 species
GUUAAGCCAGUUUAAAAAGGGUGAGAUUCGGUAGGAAAAAAAAGAAAGAUAAGGAGAGGGAGUAAGCAUCCACUUCUCACUCUCUUUAGCCAUGGCUUUCUCUCCAUUAACAACAACGAGGUCAGUGCUUUUAAUCUUCCCUUUUUUGCUCAUUUCCAUUCUCUGUAAUUCGCUCUUUUAGUCAAUUCAUUCUCCGUAAAUUAUAAUUUUCUGCAUUUUUUUCAGUGGUUGUCGUAGUAGUUAUUGCAAUCUUGGAUUAAGCUGGAAAUCAUCUUCAAGCUGGUUUGUCCAAUUAAGGCUUAAUUCAAAUGGGUCAAAUGGGGUUUCGGCUAAACCGACAAAGCUCAAUGCUAGUAAAGUCUUUCGGGCCUGCUCUUCUUCUUCCGGUAUAAUCUCUUGGCUCCUG